rnacentral:rRNA from 1 species
AUUGAACGCUGGCGGCAGGCCUAACACAUGCAAGUCGAACGCGUGGCGGACGGGUGAGUAAUGUCUGGGAAACUGCCCGAUGGAGGGGGAUAACUACUGGAAACGGUAUCUAAUACCGCAUACCCUCGGAUGUGCCCAGCGGGGAUUAGCUAGUAGGUGGGGGAACGGCUCACCUAGGCGACGAGCCCUAGCUGGUCUGAGAGGAUGACCAGCCACACUGGAACUGAGACACGGUCCAGACUCCUACGGGAGGCAGCAGUGGGGAAUAUUGCACAAUGGGCGCAAGCCUGAUGCAGCCAUGCCGCGUGUAUGAAGAAGGCCUUCGGGUUGUAAAGUACUUUCAGCGAGGAGGCGGUACUCGCAGAAGAAGCACCGGCUAACUCCGUGCCAGCAGCCGCGGUAAUUC